rnacentral:rRNA from 1 species
UACGAAGGGUGCAAGCGUUACUCGGAAUUACUGGGCGUAAAGCGUGCGUAGGCGGUUUGUUAAGUCCGUUGUGAAAGCCCUGGGCUCAACCUGGGAAUUGCAGUGGAUACUGGCGAGCUAGAGUGCGGUAGAGGAUGGUGGAAUUCCCGGUGUAGCGGUGAAAUGCGUAGAGAUCGGGAGGAACACCCGUGGCGAAGGCGGCCAUCUGGACCAGCACUGACGCUGAGGCACGAAAGCGUGGGGAGAAAACAGG